CCUCCUGCCAGGUAUUGCAGGGAGGCCCCGGAAGGUGUCACCUGUGCACUCAGGCAUCAGCCCUGCCGCAGCUUCCCUCUGCUGCCUCAGGCUGCCAACUGCUGCUGCCUGAAUGCCCUUCUGGCUGCUGCUCCCUGAAGCACCCUGGCCUCUGCAGUGCCAGUCAUCAGUCACCUCUACUGCUCCUGCCCACUGCUGCUAGGGACCUGCGGAUGGACAGCGAGUGGCUGCAGCAUCAUCACUCUCUAUCCUCAAGAGUCCCUGGCGGCUGCAGUCUAGCAUGAAAGCAGAUGGAAGACAUCACCCUCUUGCCUGCAUUAGCCUGAUCGGGGGUCCUCUGCAAAUGGCUGAGCCCCAAGCCCCUGAGUUGCAGGUUUAGCGCUUGGAGCCAUGGCUGGGCGAAAGGCGCCCUCUAGUGGCUAUCUUCUACAAGGCCGCCGGAGGGGCGGGAGAGACCGUGUCCCCACCUGGACAAAGAGAAGCCUCAUCCUCACCUGCUUUUGGAGACACUGGGUCAGGAAGGUCAAAGGAAGUGGCUUCCAAGAGAACUGUGUGUCUCCAGUUGACUUUUCCAAGUUGUCAAUAAAAAUUGUGAAUUCUUGUUUCAA